AGUUAAGGCAGAUGUGGAGGCACAAUGGGUGACACCAGACACACACCAAGCACAUUAUGUUCGGACAUUCAAUCAUGACAUGAUCCAUGUGGAUGCUGUCCAUUGAGGAAAGAGUUUGUUCCGAGGUUUCUGGAUAGAAUUAAUUCCAAAGAUGGGAAAAAAUGCACAUCCAGACAAGGAGCAAGCAAAAAGACAAGGAACUUGGUGCAGAGAAAAGCUGUGGCCAUUAACCCCUGUGAACAGCUUCAUGCAGUCGCUGAUUGAGUUCGAAUGGACGACUUCAAAGUAAAGGCCACUGUGGUCUGUCUGCCAGUUUAAUGCAUUUAUUUUUAGUGUUAAAUGAAAUUCAAGUAGAAUAUUUAAAACUAUGGGCCAGUGUUCUUUUUACCACAGUGAAAUGUUACCUUUUAGUCGAUGAUGGACUUUAAACUGAAAACUUCAAACUAUGGAACAGUGUUCUAUUUGCCAGAGUUAAAUAUGUUACAG